rnacentral:tRNA from 1 species
ACCUGAGUGGCUCAGUUGGUUGAGCGUCUGACUUCGGCUCAGGUCACGAUCUCACAGUUUGUGAGUUCGAGCCCCACAUUGGGCU